rnacentral:rRNA from 1 species
GCAAGUCGAGCGCGAAAACACUUCGGUGUGAGUAGAGCGGCGGACGGGUGAGUAACGCGUAGGAAUCUACCUGGUAGUGGGGAACAACUCGAGGAAACUCGAGCUAAUACCGCAUACGCCCUGCGGGGGAAAGCGGGGGACCUUCGGGCCUCGCGCUAUUAGAUGAGCUUGCGUUGGAUUAGCUUGUUGGUGAGGUAAUGGCUCACCAAGGCUACGAUCCAUAGCUGGUCUGAGAGGAUGAUC